GAUGAACGCUGGCGGCGUGCCUAAUACAUGCAAGUCGAGCGAACGGCCGUGAAGCCUGCUUUUCUGAUGUUAGCGGCGGACGGGGGAGUAAAACGUGGAUACCCUCUCUAUAUGACUGGGAUAAAUUCGGGAAACCGGAGCUAAUACCGGAUAAUAUUUUGAACCGCGUGGUUCAGAAGUGAAAGACGGUCUUGCCGUCAUUUAUAGAUGGAUCCGCGCUGCAUUAGCAGUUUGGUAAGGUAACGGCUUACCAAGGCAACGAUGGAUGGCCGACCUGGUAGAGGGAUCGGCCACACGGGAACUGAGACACGGUCCGGACUCCUACGGGAGGCAGCAGGAGGGAAUCUUCGGCAAUGGGCGAAGUCCUGACGGAGCAACGCCGCGUGAGUGAGGAAGGUCUUCGGAUCGUAAAACUCUGUUAUUAGGGAAGAACAUAUGUGUAAGUAACUGUGCACAUCUUGACGGUACCGAAUCAGAAAGCCACGGCUAACUACGUG
rnacentral:rRNA from 1 species